CAGCAGCCACGGUAAUACGAAGGGGGCUAGCGUUGUUCGGACUUACUGGGCGUAAAGGGCGCGUAGGCGGACUGAUAAGUCAGGGGUGAAAUCCCAAGGCUCAACCUUGGAACUGCCUUUGAUACUGUUUGUCUUGAGUUCGAGAGAGGUAAGUGGAACUGCGAGUGUAGAGGUGAAAUUCGUAGAUAUUCGCAAGAACACCAGUGGCGAAGGCGGCUUACUGGCUCGAAACUGACGCUGAGGCGCGAAGGCGUGGGGAGCAAACAGGAUUAGAUACCCGAGUAGUCCCUGUCUCUUAUAC
rnacentral:rRNA from 1 species